AAUUUUCGUGACAAAUAUGAAAAAGCAUAGGAAACAAUUAAAAUAUACUUCUCUAAUGUCUUAAUAAAAUAUUAUUUAAGGAGUGUAAUAAUUAAAUAUAUUAAUUCAAUAAAUUUUGUAAUUUAUAGACAAAACAAUAACACAACAAAUUUUGAAACAUUUGUUUAACCUAUCGAUUUUUUUCAUGAGAAUCUAUCCUAUACUAAAAGGAAGAUAUUCUCAAUGGAGAGAGUGCCAUGUCAGAUUUUUUAAUCGUCCAAUUAAAAUGCACUAAUCUGCCAUGCUAUCAACAAUAUAAUCAUGCGAAAUAAUAUGGGCUCUUAGUGAUUUGAUGUGGCCCAAUUUUCACGAUCUCUCCGACUUUUACACUUUCUCUUUGCCGUCUCAAAGUCUAGAAACCCUACCGUCUAUGUGUUUCACCGUUCUGACUCCUUAUGUCUCUCCUCCUAUAUAAAAACCUUUUCCGAUCGACCUCCAAGCUCAUUCAACAACAUCCACAAAACUUCUUCCAGUAAAAGCAAAGUCAGUCGGAAAAAUCUCUUGGCAAGUCUCGGGCGGCUCUAUUUUUCAACGCCAUCACACUAGGCCUCUCGGACUCAGAGUUACGCUUUAGUUUAUUUCACUUAUGGGAGUCAAGAAACAGGGGCUCCGUAUUGGCUUUGAACGGCAGCUCUCUCUUAAACAAGCAGAUGACAGAGUCAAGGGUUAGAGGGCUUAAAGGAGUCAUACGAUCUUGCGUUAUGUGCUUUUGUGGUGUCUGCAAAGGAAUUCAGGUUAAACAACUUUUACCUUAAGUAACAUGAAGGUGAUUUGCCAACAUGAAGACUGCAGACGGCAAGGUUUCCAAGAGUUUAUGGGUCUUUAGCAUCUUACAAUGACCACAAACUAAUUUAACACUUGCACAUAUACAGAAGAAGCUAAGAAAGCAGUGCAGUGUGAGAAAUCAAGAAACAUUGAUCUAGAAGGAUUUCGAUAAUUUUGUUGAAAACUGUAAGUACUAUGGAUGCUACA